CCAAUAGCGUAUAUUAAAGUUGUUGCAGUUAAAAAGCUCGUAGUUGAAUUUCGGGAUCAAUAUGCUGGUCGUGCCAUUGGUACGUACUAGUAUUAUUGGUUUCUCCUUUCUGAUGAAUCAUGAUGUCAUUAAUUUGAUGUCAUGAGGAAUCAGGACUGUUACUUUGAAAAAAUUAGAGUGUUUAAAGCAGGCUCGCGCUUGAAUACAUUAGCAUGGAAUAAUGAAAUAGGAUGUUUGAUUCUAUUUUGUUGGUUUCUAGGAUUGACGUAAUGAUUAAUAGGGAUAGUUGGGGGCAUUAGUAUUCAAUUGUCAGAGGUGAAAUUCUUGGAUUUAUUGAAGACUAACUACUGCGAAAGCAUUUGCCAAGGAUGUUUUCAUUAAUCAAGAACGAAAGUUAGGGGAUCGAAGACGAUCAGAUACCGUCGUAGUCUUAACCAUAAACUAUGCCGACUAGGGAUCGGAUGAUGUUAAUUUUUUAAUGACUCAUUCGGCGCCUUACGGGAAACCAAAGUGUGGUUC
rnacentral:rRNA from 1 species